rnacentral:rRNA from 1 species
AUUGAACGCUGGCGGCAGGCCUAACACAUGCAAGUCGAACGGUAACAAGAAACAGCUUGCUGUUUCGCUGACGAGUGGCGGACGGGUGAGUAAUGUCUGGGAAACUGCCUGAUGGAGGGGGAUAACUACUGGAAACGGUAGCUAAUACCGCAUAACGUCGCAAGACCAAAGAGGGGGACCCUCGGGCCUCUUGCCAUCGGAUGUGCCCAGAUGGGAUUAGCUUGUUGGUGGGGUAACGGCUCACCAAGGCGACGAUCCCUAGCUGGUCUGAGAGGAUGACCAGCCACACUGGAGCGGAGACACGGUCCAGACUCCUACGGGAGGCAGCAGUGGGGAAUAUUGCACAAUGGGCGCAAGCCUGAUGCAGCCAUGCCGCGUGUAUGAAGAAGGCCUUCGGGUUGUAAAGUACUUUCAGCGGGGAGGAAGGGAGUAAAGUUAAUACCUUUGCUCAUUGACGUUACCCGCAGAAGAAGCACCGGCUAACUCCGUG